UCCCUGUCUUUACUGGGUUUACUGGUAGAACAUGAGACUCUUAAUCUCAGUGUUGUGGGUUUGAGCCCCACAUUGGGUGAA